AGGGAUGUUGUUCAGUGGUAUAGCAUCUGCUUUACAAGCAGAAGGUACCAUGUUUGAUCCUCAGCAUCUCCA